rnacentral:misc_RNA from 1 species
GUGAAUCAUCGAAUUUUUGAACGCAAAUUGCACUCUCUUCGGAGAGUAUGCCUGUUUGAGGGUCAGCCUAAAAAAAAAAAAUCGACAUAUUCGCUGUUUCGCCGUUACAUUCGUUUGUAAUUGUGUUAUCUUUAACAUUUUUUUUUUAAAUGUUUUAUAAUUUUUUUUUAUAUUCCGCUAACCUUUUUA